UUUCUUCAUUUUUAUUAUUGUUCUUGUUGUUGCUAAUUUUGUUGUAAAUUCCAACGAUUAAUUGUAUGCCCCUCGAGCAUAGAACACUUGCCGAGAGUUUUGUUCGCCUGUUAGUAAAACUGGAUUGUGGGCCCGACUGACCGCACGAACACGUUACUUGUACACCAACAAAUAACAGAAAUCGGAUCAAAUGCAAAUCAAAGAGGAAGAAAUAAAUAGCUUCAAUACUUGCAUUUGUGUGUUUAGCAACUAAACAACAAUAAAAAGCGCAAGAGUUAGCAUGAAUAAGCUUGACCACUUAAUGACCAGGCUAGCACUGGCACUGCCAAUGUUGUCUAUCGUACAACAUAACAGUAGUGAAUUUUCUGUUGUUGCGUUCGACAUUGGCGCUCGUUUGUGGGGAGUACACUCGAACCCAACGAAAUGCAAAGCACUGCAAAUCACACCACAGUGGAACAUUCACACCUUCUUGCACGCGCUUGUAUAUGUAUGUAUAUAUGUAUGUAUGUACAUACAUAUGCUUGGUGCGGCCCCACAAUUCGCCGAUGCCAACAUGUUGUCGUAGGUCAGUUGCGGCGCGUUUUCUUGACGCAACAAAGUUAAAGCUAGAGUGCAUUGUACGCGUUAAAGGUCGCGCGGCCUGGCAAUACUGCCAAGCGGUGGUGGGUCGUUGGUUUUUUAACUCGAGCGGAUAGACGUAAAUUGAGUAACCUUAACCUUAGCUUCCAAAAAAGCUUAAACUUCAACCUGUGCUAUAAGGCGCCCAAGAAAAACAGUUGGUGUAUGACUAGAGCGGCAAAAUUCACAAUCAACCACCUCAGAUUCAGCAGUCAAAAUUUCCGUCAUCGAGCAGCAAUAAAAACAAGCCAGUCGACAGCACCAGCAGUUGAUGAGGAAACAUCAGCAAACAAUGUUCAACGCGGAGCACAACAAUAAAGUGGAAUUUCACAAAAGGCAAAAAGAAGAGGAAGAAAUAUUCAUGGAAAUGAAAACAAUCCCCAAAAACUUGUGCGCAUCAGAGGGAUCAAUGACCUACGUUGGUGCGGUUGAUGGUUUAGUUGGCUUACUAACUGACUGGUGGGUUGUCAUUGCUCGCUCACUUGAUGUUCAAUGUUGUGGCCCGUUUGCUGCCGCCGACUCGUGUUAAGUAGGUAGAGAAAAGAUUUCCAUACUUUAUAUAGUUACAUAUUUAGGGGCUAUUUUUUACAUCAGUUCAGCAAACUUUAAAAUGUGUGAUUAAACUUUGCAAUCAAUUCACUAUGAAAAUAAUUCAGAAGGUGUGGCCAGCAUCAGACCGUUAACCGGCUCUUAGCGAUUUUGAAGGAAUCAGUUGAUUUGCUGACGUAGCAAGGGAUGUUACAGCUGUUGGUUUGUGACAUGUGGUAUAAGAAAAACAAUUAACGCAGCCACUAUUCAUAUUACUUCGUUGUCAAGAUGCUAAACUCCCUCAGUUAAUGUGAGAGCGCGCCCAGGAACUCCUUUAAAUACUUAGCAACGCUGUCAAUCCCUGGGCAGAUGAACAGCUGAUAGACGAAAUGAUGGAUUGCCAGAAAUAAGGCGCCAAAAAUAGAGGAUAAAAAUAAUUUGUUUUUACAUCAAUGGAAAAGUGUCCCGAUUUACUUAUUUGUUUUAAAAAUAAAUUCCCAAACCUUUGAGAAAAUCUUAAUUAAUUUGAUAUUCAACACUAUUUAUCAUUUCAAUUUUUCAAUUUCAAUUUCAAUUUAUUUCAAUCAUUCGAUUUUUUAGUUAAUUUAAUUUAAUUUAAUUUUUCUCAAAUAUUUGUUAUAAUUAAGUAAUAUACAUAAGCUGUACACUGCUGGUCUUAGGUUAGACGCACCAUCGUUUUUUUUUUUAAACAAAAUCAAUUAUCUAUUAUCAUGCUUGUUCUAAUUGUCCAAAA